GAUUAACGCUAGCGGCAGGCAUAAUACAUGCAAGUUGAACGGCAGCACAGGUAGCAAUACUGGGUGGCGAGUGGCGCACGGGUGCGUAACACGUAUGCAACCUACCCUAUACAGGCGAAUAACCUUUAGAAAUGAGGGCUAAUACGCCGUAGUAUUACAGAUGGGCAUCUAUUUGUAAUUAAAGAUUUAUCGGUAUAGGAUGGGCAUGCGUCCCAUUAGUUAGUUGGUAAGGUAACGGCUUACCAAGACGAUGAUGGGUAGGGGAUCUGAGAGGACUUACCCCCACACUGGUACUGAGACACGGACCAGACUCCUACGGGAGGCAGCAGUAAGGAAUAUUGGGCAAUGGCCGCGAGGCUGACCCAGCCAUGCCGCGUGCAGGAAGACGGCCUUAUGGGUUGUAAACUGCUUUUAUACGGAAAUAAUAGAGUGUACGCGUACAUUUAUGCAAGUAUCGUAUGAAUAAGCAUCGGCUAACUCCGUG
rnacentral:rRNA from 1 species